UACGUAGGGGGCAAGCGUUGUCCGGAAUCAUUGGGCGUAAAGAGCGUGUAGGCGGCUCGGUAAGUCCGCUGUGAAAGUCCAGGGCUCAACCCUGGAAUGCCGGUGGAAACUGUCGAGCUAGAGUCCGGAAGAGGCGAGUGGAAUUCCUGGUGUAGCGGUGAAAUGCGCAGAUAUCAGGAGGAACACCAGUGGCGAAGGCGGUGGUCUGGGCCGGUACUGACGCUGUAGAGCGAAAGCGUGGGGAGCGAACAGG
rnacentral:rRNA from 1 species